rnacentral:rRNA from 1 species
ACCGUCGACAGUCAGGUAACGAGCGAGACCUCUGCGUCUAGUUGCUACCAUUAUCCUCUGGAGCAGUGGAGCGAAUUAGACGGACCGCUACAGUUAAUGUGGAGGAAGGAAGGGGCCACGGCAGGUCAGUAUGCCCCGAAACCCUAGGGCUACACGCGGGCUGCAAUGGUAUUGACAAUGUGUUCCGAAUCCGAAAGGAGGAGGCAAUCAUCAAACAAUAUCUCAGUUAUGACUGAGGGCUGUAACCCGCCCUCACGAAUAUGGAAUCCCUAGUAACCGCGCGUCACUACCGCGCGGUGAAUACGUCCCUGCUCCUUGCACGAAUUCGCCG